rnacentral:lncRNA from 1 species
AUGUUUAUUCUUACUUCUUUCUACUUGCACAGCCUAACACAUUUAUUCUUCCCACAGGAGUUACUCUGAUAUGCAUUAGACAUUAAUAUGCACAUUUGAAUGAGGAGUCAGAUUUCAAGUUACAAUAAAAACCACUUGUAAAGAAUUUUCUCCUGAAUUCAAAUCUUUAAAACAGCCACAACAGAUUAAAUUAUUUUUUUAAGGAAGUAGUAUGUUCUAGCAUACUUGUGGCUCUACUUCUGCAUUGCCAGUGCUGCUGGGCUGCUUAAGAGGUAACAGGCUGACCGGGGGAGGAACAAGGACAUUUUGAUACUGCUGUGCCAGCUGGAACAAACCUGAGAGCCUGGACUUUCUGUGGAUGAACAGUCAAGGUGAUGCCCUGAGACUCAACACAGCUCCACUGGAUCUCCCCGGCCCGGAAUGGAAAGUGUUAGAAGCUGAACUAUGUUUUGGGAGAAACAAUGAUCUUUGCUUUAGCUGUGUACUCCAUCCAUCCCAGCAUACCUUGGAGCUGGGGGCAGG